rnacentral:rRNA from 1 species
GAUGAACGCUGGCGGCGUGCCUAACACAUGCAAGUCGAGCGGCAGCGCGGAGAGUUUACUCUCUGGCGGCGAGCGGCGGACGGCUGAGUAACGCGUGGGAACGUGCCCCAAAGUGAGGAAUAACUGCCCGAAAGGGUGGCUAAUGCCGCAUAUGAUCUUCGGAUGAAAGGAUUUAUCCGCUUUGGGAGCGGCCAGCGUCGGAUUAGGUUGUUGGUGAGGUGAUGGCUCACCAAGCCGACGAUCCGUAGCUGGUCUGAGAGGAUGAUCAGCCAGACUGGGACUGAGACACGGCCCAGACUCCUACGGGAGGCAGCAGUGAGGAAUCUUCCACAAUGGGCGAAAGCCUGAUGGAGCAACGCCGCGUGCAGGAUGAAGGCCUUCGGGUUGUAAACUGCUUUUAUAAGUGAAGAAUAUGACGGUAACUUAUGAAUAAGCACCGGCUAACUACGUGCCAGCCGCCGCGGUAA